rnacentral:rRNA from 1 species
GACGAACGCUGGCGGCGUGCCUAAUACAUGCAAGUAGAACGCACAGUUUAUACCGUAGCUUGCUACACCAUAGACUGUGAGUUGCGAACGGGUGAGUAACGCGUAGGUAACCUGCCUGGUAGCGGGGGAUAACUAUUGGAAACGAUAGCUAAUACCGCAUAAUAUUGAUUAUUGCAUGAUAAUUGAUUGAAAGAUGCUAUUGCAUCACUACCAGAUGGACCUGCGUUGUAUUAGCUAGUAGGUGAGGUAACGGCUCACCUAGGCGACGAUACAUAGCCGACCUGGGAGGGUGAUCGGCCACACUGGGACUGAGACACGGCCCAGACUCCUACGGGAGGCAGCAGUAGGGAAUCUUCGGCAAUGGACGAAAGUCUGACCGAGCAACGCCGCGUGAGUGAAGAAGGUUUUCGGAUCGUAAAGCUCUGUUGUAAGAGAAGAACGGGUGUGAGAGUGGAAAGUUCACACUGUGACGGUAUCUUACCAGAAAGGGACGGCUAACUACGUG